rnacentral:sRNA from 1 species
CCCGACGCCCAUUUUCGGGGUCGGAAUGCCGAGCGGAUGCGACAGCAGCCGGCGGCAUAAUAACUUGUACCCAUGUUGCUCAAUGGAGGAUGUGGCUAUGAGAA